CCAGUGCCCAGUGGCAGCCAGCCCCAUGCAGAUGAAAGAAAAAGGCACAGCCCAGGGCGGAUGCUUCUGAGGUGCAGGUGCCUGUCUGUCAUCGGGCAGGAGCCCGCAGGUGGACAGCAUGGGGCCCGCACACCUGGGGACCGGGCGAGGGGUGUGGAGCGCCGUGGGGCACCCUGCAGCAUCGGGUACAUCUGCGUGUGGACAGCAGGACAUCAAGAGUCGAAAAGUUCUCUUGUUUUAGGUAAAAUUUACAGUGGAAUUCACAGAUCUUAACAGUUCCGUGAGAUGAGUUCUGAGACGUGCACACACCUGCGUCUCCCAAACCCUCACCGGGAAUAUUGUCAGCCCCUGUGGAGCACAGUAAAGAGAUUUAUCAAAGAACUGAAAACAGAACUCAUCCAGCAAUCCCACUGCCCCAGUAAAGAGAUUUAUCAAAGAACUGAAAACAGAACUCAUCCAGCAAUCCCACUGCCGGGCAGCUACUCGAAGGAAAUGAUUACAUCAAAAAGACACCUGCACGUGCACGUCCAUCACAGCACCAUUCACAACAGCAAAGACACGGAAUCAGCCUAGGGCUCCACCAACAGACGGCUGGAGAAAGAGAAUGUGGUGCAUAUACACGAUGGAGUACUAUUCAGCCAUGAAAAAGUGUAAAAUUGUGCCCUUUGCAGGAACGUGGAUGGAACGGGAGAACAUAGUGCUGAGUCAAACAGUUCAGAAACAGAAGGACAAAGAGCACGUGUCCUCACUUACAGGUGGGAGCUAAAUGAUGUGUGCACGUGGACACAGAGUGGGGAACACUCACCCGUGGAUGCUCAGGAGGGUGGGGCGAGGGAUGAGAAAGUUCCCGGUGCGUUUGAUGUACGCUCUCUGGUGAUGGCUACACUGACAGCCCCGACUUCACCACUACACAGUGUUUCCAUGUAACUGCACUUGUACCCCUUAUAUUUACAAAUAAAAAAUAGGCCAGGCACAGGUGGCUCACGCCUGUAAUCCCAACACUUCAAGAAGCCAAGACAGGAAGAUGAGUU
rnacentral:lncRNA from 10 species